UAAGCGACUAAGCGUACACGGUGGAUGCCCUGGCAGUCAGAGGCGAUGAAGGACGUGCUAAUCUGCGAUAAGCGUCGGUAAGGUGAUAUGAACCGUUAUAACCGGCGAUUUCCGAAUGGGGAAACCCAGUGUGAUUCGUCACACUAUCAUUAACUGAAUCCAUAGGUUAAUGAGGCGAACCGGGGGAACUGAAACAUCUAAGUACCCCGAGGAAAAGAAAUCAACCGAGAUUCCCCCAGUAGCGGCGAGCGAACGGGGAGCAGCCCAGAGCCUGAAUCAGUGUGUGUGUUAGUGGAAGCGUCUGGAAAGGCGCGCGAUACAGGGUGACAGCCCCGUACACAAAAAUGCACAUGCUGUGAGCUCGAUGAGUAGGGCGGGACACGUGGUAUCCUGUCUGAAUAUGGGGGGACCAUCCUCCAAGGCUAAAUACUCCUGACUGACCGAUAGUGAACCAGUACCGUGAGGGAAAGGCGAAAAGAACCCCGGCGAGGGGAGUGAAAAAGAACCUGAAACCGUGUACGUACAAGCAGUGGGAGCCUCUUUAUGGGGUGACUGCGUACCUUUUGUAUAAUGGGUCAGCGACUUAUAUUCUGUAGCAAGGUUAACCGAAUAGGGGAGCCGAAGGGAAACCGAGUCUUAACUGGGCGUUAAGUUGCAGGGUAUAGACCCGAAACCCGGUGAUCUAGCCAUGGGCAGGUUGAAGGUUGGGUAACACUAACUGGAGGACCGAACCGACUAAUGUUGAAAAAUUAGCGGAUGACUUGUGGCUGGGGGUGAAAGGCCAAUCAAACCGGGAGAUAGCUGGUUCUCCCCGAAAGCUAUUUAGGUAGCGCCUCGUGAAUUCAUCUCCGGGGGUAGAGCACUGUUUCGGCAAGGGGGUCAUCCCGACUUACCAACCCGAUGCAAACUGCGAAUACCGGAGAAUGUUAUCACGGGAGACACACGGCGGGUGCUAACGUCCGUCGUGAAGAGGGAAACAACCCAGACCGCCAGCUAAGGUCCCAAAGUCAUGGUUAAGUGGGAAACGAUGUGGGAAGGCCCAGACAGCCAGGAUGUUGGCUUAGAAGCAGCCAUCAUUUAAAGAAAGCGUAAUAGCUCACUGGUCGAGUCGGCCUGCGCGGAAGAUGUAACGGGGCUAAACCAUGCACCGAAGCUGCGGCAGCGACGCUGAUGCGUUGUUGGGUAGGGGAGCGUUCUGUAAGCCUGCGAAGGUGUGCUGUGAGGCAUGCUGGAGGUAUCAGAAGUGCGAAUGCUGACAUAAGUAACGAUAAAGCGGGUGAAAAGCCCGCUCGCCGGAAGACCAAGGGUUCCUGUCCAACGUUAAUCGGGGCAGGGUGAGUCGACCCCUAAGGCGAGGCCGAAAGGCGUAGUCGAUGGGAAACAGGUUAAUAUUCCUGUACUUGGUGUUACUGCGAAGGGGGGACGGAGAAGGCUAUGUUGGCCGGGCGACGGUUGUCCCGGUUUAAGCGUGUAGGCUGGUUUUCCAGGCAAAUCCGGAAAAUCAAGGCUGAGGCGUGAUGACGAGGCACUACGGUGCUGAAGCAACAAAUGCCCUGCUUCCAGGAAAAGCCUCUAAGCAUCAGGUAACAUCAAAUCGUACCCCAAACCGACACAGGUGGUCAGGUAGAGAAUACCAAGGCGCUUGAGAGAACUCGGGUGAAGGAACUAGGCAAAAUGGUGCCGUAACUUCGGGAGAAGGCACGCUGAUAUGUAGGUGAAGUCCCUCGCGGAUGGAGCUGAAAUCAGUCGAAGAUACCAGCUGGCUGCAACUGUUUAUUAAAAACACAGCACUGUGCAAACACGAAAGUGGACGUAUACGGUGUGACGCCUGCCCGGUGCCGGAAGGUUAAUUGAUGGGGUCAGCGCAAGCGAAGCUCUUGAUCGAAGCCCCGGUAAACGGCGGCCGUAACUAUAACGGUCCUAAGGUAGCGAAAUUCCUUGUCGGGUAAGUUCCGACCUGCACGAAUGGCGUAAUGAUGGCCAGGCUGUCUCCACCCGAGACUCAGUGAAAUUGAACUCGCUGUGAAGAUGCAGUGUACCCGCGGCAAGACGGAAAGACCCCGUGAACCUUUACUAUAGCUUGACACUGAACAUUGAGCCUUGAUGUGUAGGAUAGGUGGGAGGCUUUGAAGUGUGGACGCCAGUCUGCAUGGAGCCGACCUUGAAAUACCACCCUUUAAUGUUUGAUGUUCUAACGUGGACCCGUAAUCCGGGUUGCGGACAGUGUCUGGUGGGUAGUUUGACUGGGGCGGUCUCCUCCUAAAGAGUAACGGAGGAGCACGAAGGUUGGCUAAUCCUGGUCGGACAUCAGGAGGUUAGUGCAAUGGCAUAAGCCAGCUUGACUGCGAGCGUGACGGCGCGAGCAGGUGCGAAAGCAGGUCAUAGUGAUCCGGUGGUUCUGAAUGGAAGGGCCAUCGCUCAACGGAUAAAAGGUACUCCGGGGAUAACAGGCUGAUACCGCCCAAGAGUUCAUAUCGACGGCGGUGUUUGGCACCUCGAUGUCGGCUCAUCACAUCCUGGGGCUGAAGUAGGUCCCAAGGGUAUGGCUGUUCGCCAUUUAAAGUGGUACGCGAGCUGGGUUUAGAACGUCGUGAGACAGUUCGGUCCCUAUCUGCCGUGGGCGCUGGAGAACUGAGGGGGGCUGCUCCUAGUACGAGAGGACCGGAGUGGACGCAUCACUGGUGUUCGGGUUGUCAUGCCAAUGGCACUGCCCGGUAGCUAAAUGCGGAAGAGAUAAGUGCUGAAAGCAUCUAAGCACGAAACUUGCCCCGAGAUGAGUUCUCCCUGACUCCUUGAGAGUCCUGAAGGAACGUUGAAGACGACGACGUUGAUAGGCCGGGUGUGUAAGCGCAGCGAUGCGUUGAGCUAACCGGUACUAAUGAACCGUGAGGCUUAACCU
rnacentral:rRNA from 1 species